rnacentral:rRNA from 1 species
GAUGAACGCUAGCUACAGGCUUAACACAUGCAAGUCGAGGGACCGGCGCACGGGUGAGUAACACGUAUCCACCCUGCCCUUUACUCGGGGAUAGCCUUUCGAAAGAAAGAUUAAUACCCGAUGUACAGGGUGGGGAUGCGUUCGAUUAGGUUGUUGGUGGGGUAACGGCUCACCAAGCUUCCGAUGGAUAGGGGGUCUGAGAGGAAGGUCCCCCACAUUGGAACUGAGGCACGGUCCAAACUCCUACGGGAGGCAGCAGUGAGGAAUAUUGGUCAAUGGGCGUUAGCCUGAACCAGCCAAGUAGCGUGAAGGAUGAAGGCUUAUGGGUCGUAAACUUCUUUUAUAUAAGAAUAGGUAUUAUAUGAAUAAGGAUCGGCUAACUCCGUGCCAGCAGCCGCGGUAAUAC